AACCAGCACCUCAAGUGGUCAGGAUGAUUAUUGGGCCUAAAGCAUCCGUAGCCGGCUCUGUAAGUUUUCGGUUAAAUCUGUACGCUCAACGUACAGGCUGCCGGGAAUACUGCAGAGCUAGGGAGUGGGAGAGGUAGACGGUACUCGGUAGGAAGGGGUAAAAUCCUUUGAUCUAUUGAUGACCACCUGUGGCGAAGGCGGUCUACCAGAACACGUCCGACGGUGAGGGAUGAAAGCUGGGGGAGCAAACAGG
rnacentral:rRNA from 1 species